GCGGCCGUAGCUCAGCGGGAGAGCGCCCGAUGCUAAACCGGGCGGUCCCGGGUUCAAGUCCCGGCGGCCGCACCA
rnacentral:tRNA from 1 species